rnacentral:rRNA from 1 species
UUGAACCUACGGGGGGCAGCAGUGAGGAAUAUUGGUCAAUGGGCGUAAGCCUGAACCAGCCAAGUCGCGUGAGGGACGACGGCCCUACGGGUUGUAAACCUCUUUUGCCGGGGGACAAACGGCGGCACGCGUGCCGUCCUGAGGGUACCCGGAGAAAAAGCAUCGGCUAACUCCGUGCCAGCAGCCGCGGUAAUACGGAGGAUGCGAGCGUUAUCCGGAUUUAUUGGGUUUAAAGGGUGCGCAGGCGGAUUUUUAAGUCAGCGGUCAAAUCGUGGGGCUCAACCCCAUCCAGCCGUUGAAACUGG